ACUAAGCAAGGAGUGAGAGCUCUGUUGUUCUGCUGAUGGGGCUCAGUCUGUUCUUCCUCUUUUCCAACAAUCACACUUAUUUCCAGGAAAGAGAAACCUCUACAUGGAUCCCUUGCAUGGGUGUUGUACAAUGGGAGCUUUCAUUCCUGCUUUGGCACCUGCAACCCUGGGUUAACAGUACCAUGGAGCGGAGAAAGCGUUUACCAGAGUGCGGUGCCGCGAUCCCACCCCGUGCAGCAGUUGAGCAGAGGUCAUCUUUAAGUAAAAGCCAUCUGAUAUUUUACUGCAAGCAUGUGGCAGUGAAGACGACAAUGACUGCUAGUAUGGUUUGUGCCACUGCCUUGAUUUCCGCUCAGGCACCAGCAGUCUUACCCACCAUUGCUUUGGUGCAGUUGGUGGAGAUAUCAAUGGAUCAAAAGCGCAAGUAAUAUGUUUCAGAUACAUGGAUGUGUCUGCAAGAUGCUAGAUGCCUCCUGGAACACAUUUGCCUGGUGGCAGGAGCCAAGUCCUGGCAGAAGUCAGGAAGCAGGUCUAACGGGCAUCAGCGGAGAAACUAGGAAUGCUAACCAUUGUCUCUUUCUCUUUCAGAGCUGUCUCUCUUCAUUUCCAAAAUUAAAAGAUUUUUACUUCCCCCCACCUCAUUUAUACAUUUCGCUGGUCAUUGUAGGCCUUCUCAUGAUAUAAAAAACAAUGACCAUUACCUCAUUGGUAAAUAGGUAGAUCAAAGUCUUUAUGUAUAGCUACGUAUCUAAUUUUUUUCCUUAAUUAUCUCAAUACCAAAAUCAAGACAAGUUGUGGGUUGGGUAGGCACAGGAGGAUGGGAGUGGGCUUGCCUUCCAGGCAGCCUGACAAGCCUUGCCGAGGUCAGGUUGCUUUGCCAUCAGAGUCCAUCUUCUGACUUCAGGCAUGUCAGGUCUUUGGCAGUCUCUCCUCUCUGGCUUCCCCUCAGUUAAUCCCCUCCUGGCCAAGCUUGUCAGGUGGGCCCUAUUUGGGUCCAAAGAAGCACUAAAUAAAUGUCGAUUGAGGCAGCUUAUCCUAAUGAUGGCAAUUAUGACAGUGAUGUUUUUCUUUU
rnacentral:lncRNA from 1 species